GACGAACGCUGGCGGCGUGCUUAACACAUGCCAGUCGAACGGAAAGGCCUGCUUUCCCUUGUGGAUUGCGGGUACUCGAGUGGCGAACGGGUGAGUAACACGUGAGUGAUCUGCCCCCAACUUGGGUAUAAGCCUGGGAAACUGGGUCUAAUUCCCGAUAGGACUGCAGGGUGGUGCCUGUGGUGGAAAACGAUUUUCUAGUGGUUGGGGAUGAGCUCGCGGCCUAUCAGCUUGUUGGUGGGGUAAUGGCCUACCAAGGCGGCGACGGGUAGCCGGCCUGGGAGGGUGGACGGCCACAUUGGGACUGAGAUACGGCCCAGACUCCUACGGGAGGCAGCAGUGGGGAAUAUUGCACAAUGGGCGGAAGCCUGAUGCAGCGACGCCGCGUGGGGGAUGACGGCCUUCGGGUUGUAAACCCCUUUCGACCGCGAGGAAGCCACCUGGUUGGAAGGGUGGUGACGGUAGUGGUAGAAGAAGCACCGGCUAACUACGUG
rnacentral:rRNA from 1 species